rnacentral:rRNA from 1 species
AGCGAGAGAGAGCUUGCUUUCUCAAGCGAGUGGCGAACGGGUGAGUAACGCGUGAGGAACCUGCCUCAAAGAGGGGGACAACAGUUGGAAACGACUGCUAAUACCGCAUAAGCCCACAGGUCGGCAUCGACCAGAGGGAAAAGGAGCAAUCCGCUUUGAGAUGGACCCGCGUCUGAUUAGCUAGUUGGUGAGGUAACGGCCCACCAAGGCAACGAUCGGUAGCCGGACUGAGAGGUUGAACGGCCACAUUGGUACUGAGACACGGACCAAACUCC